rnacentral:rRNA from 1 species
GCUCUUGAUUGAAGUCCCGGUAAACGGCGGCCGUAACUAUAACGGUCCUAAGGUAGCGAAAUUCCUUGUCGGGUAAGUUCCGACCUGCACGAAUGGCGUAACGAUGGCCACACUGUCUCCUCCCGAGACUCAGCGAAGUUGAAGUGUUUGUGAUGAUGCAAUCUCCCCGCGGCUAGACGGAAAGACCCCAUGAACCUUUACUGUAGCUUUGCAUUGGACUUUGAACCGGUCUGUGUAGGAUAGGUGGGAGGCUUUGAAGCGUGGACGCCAGUUCACGUGGAGCCGUCCUUGAAAUACCACCCUGGUUUGUUUGAGGUUCUAACCUUGGCCCGUGAAUCCGGGUCGGGGACAGUGCAUGGUAGGCAGUUUGACUGGGGCGGUCUCCUCCCAAAGUGUAACGGAGGAGUUCGAAGGUACGCUUGGUACGGUCGGACAUCGUACCUAAAGUGCAAUGGCA